rnacentral:misc_RNA from 1 species
AUUGGGGAAGCAUGUGCUAAAAAUUCAUAAAAACUUUUACAACUUGGCCUUUGAAUACCCAAAGAACUAAUUGAUGAUCAAUUUACAUGUGGAAAGAUCCAUCAAGGUAAGUGUUUUUCUUCAAAAUUGUUGCCUCUAUCCAUAUGGAGAUAUAUUAUGGAAGGGCAAAUUGACAAAGAUUGGCAUUUAAGUGGAAAAUGUACGAGGAAGCAGUCACAAAGUCAUAUUAAUGCCCAAUGUCUUGUUAAAUGGUUUCCAACCAAAAUCCCUAAAGUCUUAUUAAGGCAUGCUAUUAGGUUGUUUGUUAUAAUCUUG